rnacentral:tRNA from 1 species
GCCGACAUCGCAUAGUGGUAUUGCAUCAGGUUGCUAACCUGAGCCCUUUACUGGGCCCCAGGGUUCGAUUCCCUGUGUCGGCG